rnacentral:rRNA from 1 species
GGUGGGGUUCUUUUUAGCUGCGCUCCUUAACAUGCAGUCGAACGGCAGCACGGGGGCAACCCUGGUGGCGAGUGGCGAACGGGUGAGUAAUACAUCGGAACGUGUCCUGUAGUGGGGGAUAGCCCGGCGAAAGCCGGAUUAAUACCGCAUACGCUCUACGGAGGAAAGGGGGGGAUCUCAGGACCUCCCGCUACAGGGGCGGCCGAUGGCAGAUUAGCUAGUUGGUGGGGUAAAGGCCUACCAAGGCGACGAUCUGUAGCUGGUCUGAGAGGACGACCAGCCACACUGGGACUGAGACACGGCCCAGACUCCUACGGGAGGCAGCAGUGGGGAAUUUUGGACAAUGGGCGAAAGCCUGAUCCAGCAAUGCCGCGUGUGUGAAGAAGGCCUUCGGGUUGUAAAGCACUUUUGUCCGGAAAGAAAACCUCCGCCCUAAUAUGGUGGGGGGAUGACGGUACCGGAAGAAUAAGCACCGGCUAACUACGUGCCAGCAGCCGCGGUAAUACGUAGGGUGCAAGCGUUAAUCGGAAUUACUGGGCGUAAAGCGUGCGCAGGCGGUCCGCUAAGACAGAUGUGAAAUCCCCGGGCUUAACCUGGGAACUGCAUUUGUGACUGGCGGGCUAGAGUAUGGCAGAGGGGGGUAGAAUUCCACGUGUAGCAGUGAAAUGCGUAGAGAUGUGGAGGAAUACCGAUGGCGAAGGCAGCCCCCUGGGCCAAUACUGACGCUCAUGCACGAAAGCGUGGGGAGCAAACAGGAUUAGAUACCCUGGUAGUCCACGCCCUAAACGAUGUCAACUAGUUGUUGGGGAUUCAUUUCCUUAGUAACGUAGCUAACGCGUGAAGUUGACCGCCUGGGGAGUACGGUCGCAAGAUUAAAACUCAAAGGAAUUGACGGGGACCCGCACAAGCGGUGGAUGAUGUGGAUUAAUUCGAUGCAACGCGAAAAACCUUACCUACCCUUGACAUGUAUGGAACCCUGCUGAGAGGUGGGAGUGCCCGAAAGGGAGCCA